rnacentral:tRNA from 1 species
GGGGUUGUAGCUUAGUGGUAGACUGCAUGCCUAGCAUGCAUGAGGCCCUGGGUUAGAUCCCCAGUGUCUCUC